CUGGGUCUCCGGAGAGACUGGGCCGGGCCCGGGCAAAGGUUUUAGUACUUGGACGUUGGCAGGGGUGUGCCUUUUUAUAGGUGUGGAAGAUGAAGUGACCUAACCAGGCCAACCAAGAGCGGGUGUCUGUCCCCAAGGUAGCCAAGCCCAGACUGGGGGGACGCGACUGAAGGAGGACUCCGGAGUCGGAGCGUCGGUCCUGCCUACCCCUCCCCGACUCUCCCCCAAGCUCAUGAUGGGGGACCCUGUCAUCGCGGCUUUCGAGAUUUCUGGGGCCGGCGUCCCUCGCCCAGUCAGGGUCACCGGCUGCCCCAGAAGUUCUCUGGAUGCUGGGGUGUGGCCAAGGCCUUGUAAACGGAAAGGAAGACCGGACGCAUGCUAGAAAUGCAGCCGUCAACGCCUGGAAGAAGGAAAACACCCCACUCUGGCCCAGGAUCUGGGUCACUAUGAAUGACAGAGAGGCAGAUUCCUCCACUCCACCUAGGUGCGAGCCUCACCUAAGAGGUUUCUGGACACAGCUUCCCAACCUGCAUAACACGGGAAUUCCCAAGGAAACGGUGCCUAGGACCACCUUGCACGCAUCCUUGCUUUGCUCUGAGCCUGUGAAAACACUGCUUCAUUAGAGUUUCACCUUGAAAUGCCCCAUGGUCCUACCGCCUGCAGUUACUUCGUUGAAGUGAGUCAGUAAAACCAAUUUUGAGCCACUUG